CCCCCAGCCCGGCCCGGCCCCUGCCCCGGGGGUCCCCGCUCGGAGGGAAGGAUCCACGGUAUACCGCCGAACCGGAGGACCGCAGACCGUUCCCCACCAGACCCGGGCAGCAUCUGAAAGGCUGAGGAAUCACGUCCACAUUUCACUCCAGAUCGUCCCGUCUGCCAGGAGAAAGGGA